UACGGAGGAUCCAAGCGUUAUCCGGAUUUAUCGGGUUUAAAGGGUCCGCAGGCGGGGUACUAAGUCAGUGGUGAAAGGCUGUCGCUUAACGAUAGCAUUGCCAUUGAUACUGGUACUCUUGAGUGUAGCUGAGGUGGGCGGAAUAAGUCAUGUAGCGGUGAAAUGCAUAGAUAUGACUUAGAACACCGAUUGCGAAGGCAGCUCCCUAAGCUACUACUGACGCUGAGGCGCGAAAGCGUGGGGAGCAAACAGG
rnacentral:misc_RNA from 1 species